UUAGUGGCGGACGGGUGAGUAAUGUAUGAGCAACCUGCCUUUCAGAGGGGGACAACAGUUGGAAACGACUGCUAAUACCGCAUAAUGUGCAGAGACCGCAUGAUCUUUGUAUCAAAGGAGCAAUCCGCUGAAAGAUGGGCUCAUAUCUGAUUAGAUAGUUGGUGAGGUAACGGCCCACCAAGUCUGCGAUCAGUAGCCGGACUGAGAGGUUGAACGGCCACAUUGGAACUGAGAUACGGUCCAGACUCCUACGGGAGGCAGCAGUGAGGGAUAUUGGGCAAUGGGCGAAAGCCUGACCCAGCAACGCCGCGUGAAGGAAGAAGGUCUUCUUGAUUGUAAACUUUUGUCUUAUGGGACGAUAAUGACGGCACCAUAGGAGGAAGCCACGACUAACUACGUGCCAGCAGUCGCGGUAAUACGUAGGUGGCAAGCGUUAUCCGGAAUUAUUGGGUGUAAAGGGUGCGUAGGCGGGAUGUCAAGUCAGGUGUGAAAUCUCAGUGCUCAACGCUGAGACUGCACUUGAAACUGAUGUUCUUGAGUGAAGUAGAGGUAAGCGGAAUUCCCAGUGUAGCGGUGAAAUGCGUAGAUAUUGGGAGGAACACCAGUGGCGAAGGCGGCUUACUGGGCUUUUACUGACGCUGAGGCACGAAAGUGUGGGGAGCAAACAGGAUUAGAUACCCUGGUAGUCCACACCGUAAACGAUGAUUACUAGGUGUAGGGUGGCUGAACCAUUCUGUGCCGGAGCUAACACAAUAAGUAAUCCACCUGGGGAGUACGGCCGCAAGGUUGAAACUCAAAGGAAUUGACGGGGGCCCGCACAAGCAGUGGAGUAUGUGGUUUAAUUCGACGCUACGCGGAGAACCUUACCAGGUCUUGACAUCUGACUAACGAAGCAGAGAUGCAUUAGGUGCCUUUCGGGGAAAGUCAAGACAGGUGGUGCAUGGUUGUCGUCAGCUCGUGUCGUGAGAUGUUGGGUUAAGUCCCGCAACGAGCGCAACCCUCGUCCUAUGUUGCCAGCACGUAAUGGUGGGGACUCAUAGGAGACUGCCGGGGUCAACUCGGAGGAAGGUGGGGACGACGUCAAAUCAUCAUGCCCCUUAUGUCUUGGGCUUCACGCAUGCUACAAUGGCCGGUACAGAGGGCUGCGAUACCGCAAGGUGGAGCGAAUCCCAAAAAGCCGGUCUCAGUUCGGAUUGGGGUCUGCAACUCGACCCCAUGAAGUCGGAGUCGCUAGUAAUCGCAGAUCAGCAACGCUGCGGUGAAUACGUUCCCGGGCCUUGUACUCACCGCCCGUCA
rnacentral:rRNA from 1 species